AUUGAACGCUGGCGGCAGGCUUAACACAUGCAAGUCGAACGCAGUGGGGACGGGUGAGUAACACGUGGGUAACCUCCCAUCAGAGGGGAUAACACUUGGAAACAGGUGCUAAACCGAUACUGAUAGAUGGACCCGCGGUGCCUUAGCUAGUUGGUGAGGUAACGGCUCACCAAGGCCACGAUGCAUAGCCGACCUGAGAGGGUGAUCGGCCACACUGGGAAUGAGACACGGCCCAGACUCCUACGGGCGGAAGCAGUGGGGAAUCUUCGGCAAUGGACGAAAGUCUGACCGAGCAACGCCGCGGGAGGGAAGAAGGUUUUCGGAUCGUAAAUCUCUGUUGUUAGAGAAGCGGUAUCUAACCAGAAAGCCACGGCUAACUACGUGCCAGCAGCCGCGGUAAUAC
rnacentral:rRNA from 1 species